UAAUACCCUAUAGGUUACAGAUGCUGGAAUGCUCUGUAACUCAAAGUUCCGGCGCCUUAGGAUGGAUCUGCGGCCGAUUAGGUUGUUGUUGGGGUAAUGGCCCAACAAGCCAGUAAUCGGUACGGGUUGUGGGAGCAAGAGCCCGGAGUUGGAUUCUGAGACACGAAUCCAGGCCCUACGGGGCGCAGCAGGCGCGAAAACUUUACAAUGCGGGCAACCGUGAUAAGGGAACCUCGAGUGCCUGUAUAUGCAGGCUGUCCAGGUGUCUAAAGCACACCUGAAGAAAGGGCCGGGCAAGACCGGUGCCAGCCGCCGCGGUAAUACCGGCGGCUCGAGUGGUGGCCACUUUUAUUGGGCUUAAAGCGUUCGUAGCUGGGUUAUUAAGUCCCUUGGGAAAUCCGACAGCUUAACUGUCGGGCGUCUAAGAGAUACUGGUAAUCUUGGAACCGGGAGAGGUGAGGGGUACUUCGGGGGUAGGAGUGAAAUCCUGUAAUCCUCGAGGGACCACCUGUGGCGAAGGCGCCUCACCAGAACGGCUUCGACAGUGAGGGACGAAAGCUGGGGGAGCAAACCGGAUUAGAUACGCCGGGUAGUCCCAGCCGUAAACGAUGUGCGUUAGGUGU
rnacentral:rRNA from 1 species